rnacentral:tRNA from 1 species
GCCAGGGUGAUGGAACUGGUAGACAUGCUGCGCUUAGAACGCAGUGCUUCGUGCGUGCAGGUUCAAGUCCUGUCCCUGGUACCA